GUGUCAGUCGGGCAGUUUGACUGGGGCGGUCUCCUCCCAAAGAGUAACGGAGGAGUGCAAUGGUACACUCAGCCUGGUCGGCAAUCAGGCGUAGAGCGUAAAGGUAAAAGUGUGCUUGACUGCGAGACCCAUAAGUCGAGCAGGAACGAAAGUUGGUCUUAGUGAUCCGGUAAUCCCGAAUGGAAGGGUUAUCGCUCAUCAGAUAAAAGGUACUCCGGGGAUAACAGGCUUAUCGCAUCCGAGCGUCCACAGCGGCGAUGCGGUUUGGCACCUCGAUGUCGGCUCAUCACAUCCUGGGGGUGUAGAAGCUCCCAAGGGUUUGGCUGUUCGCCAAUGAAAGUGGUACGUGAGCUGGGUUCAGACCGUCGUGAGACAGGUCGGUCCCUAUCUGCCGUGGGCGUUCGAAACUUGAGAGGAUUCAACUUUAGUACGAGAGGAUUUAGUUGGACGAAGCUCUGGUGUACCAGUUGUCGCGCUAGCGGCACGGCUGGAUAGCUAACUUCGGAAAGGAUAAACGCUGAAAGCAUCUAAGCGUGAAGCCCGCCUCAAGAUUAGGUUUCGUUAGCAACAGCGAAAGUCCCCAGGAAGACGACCUGGUUGAUAGGCCGGAUGUGUAAGCACGGUAACGUGUUCAGCUAACCGGUACUAACGGACGAAGGGUUGGCCAU
rnacentral:rRNA from 1 species